UGGGGAAUAUUGCGCAAUGGGCGAAAGCCUGACGCAGCGACGCCGCGUGGGGGAUGAAGGCCUUCGGGUUGUAAACCCCUUUCAGCAGGGACGAAGCGAAAGUGACGGUACCUGCAGAAGAAGCGCCGGCUAACUACGUGCCAGCAGCCGCGGUAACCCGUAGGGCGCAAGCGUUGUCCGGAAUUAUUGGGCGUAAAGAGCUCGUAGGCGGUCUGUUGCGUCCGCUGUGAAAACUCGGGGCUUAACCCCGAGCCUGCAGUGGAUACGGGCAGACUAGAGGUAGGUAGGGGAGAAUGGAAUUCCCGGUGUAGCGGUGAAAUGCGCAGAUAUCGGGAGGAACACCGGUGGCGAAGGCGGUUCUCUGGGCCUUACCUGACGCUGAGGAGCGAAAGCGUGGGGAGCGAAC
rnacentral:rRNA from 1 species